rnacentral:rRNA from 1 species
GCUAGCUACAGGCUUAACACAUGCAAGUCGAGGGGCAGCAUGGUCUUAGCUUGCUAAGGCCGAUGGCGACCAGCGCACGGGUGAGUAACACGUAUCCAACCUGCCGUCUACUCUUGGACAGCCUUCUGAAAGGAAGAUUAAUACAAGAUGGCAUCAUGAGUCCGCAUGUUCACAUGAUUAAAGGUAUUCCGGUAGACGAUGGGGAUGCGUUCCAUUAGAUAGUAGGCGGGGUAACGGCCCACCUAGUCUUCGAUGGAUAGGGGUUCUGAGAGGAAGGUCCCCCACAUUGGAACUGAGACACGGUCCAAACUCCUACGGGAGGCAGCAGUGAGGAAUAUUGGUCAAUGGGCGAGAGCCUGAACCAGCCAAGUAGCGUGAAGGAUGACUGCCCUAUGGGUUGUAAACUUCUUUUAUAAAGGAAUAAAGUCGGGUAUGGAUACCCGUUUGCAUGUACUUUAUGAAUAAGGAUCGGCUAACUCCGUGCCAGCAGCCGCGGUAAUACGGAGGAUCCGAGCGUUAUCCGGAUUUAUUGGGUUUAAAGGGAGCGUAGAUGGAUGUUUAAGUCAGUUGUGAAAGUUUGCGGCUCAACCGUAAAAUUGCAGUUGAUACUGGAUAUCUUGAGUGCAGUUGAGGCAGGCGGAAUUCGUGGUGUAGCGGUGAAAUGCUUAGAUAUCACGAAGAACUCCGAUUGCGAAGGCAGCCUGCUAAGCUGCAACUGACAUUGAGGCUCGAAAGUGUGGGUAUCAAACAGGAUUAGAUACCCUGGUAGUCCACACGGUAAACGAUGAAUACUCGCUGUUUGCGAUAUACUGCAAGCGGCCAAGCGAAAGCGUUAAGUAUUCCACCUGGGGAGUACGCCGGCAACGGUGAAACUCAAAGGAAUUGACGGGGGCCCGCACAAGCGGAGGAACAUGUGGUUUAAUUCGAUGAUACGCGAGGAACCUUACCCGGGCUUAAAUUGCAGAUGAAUUACGGUGAAAGCCGUAAGCCGCAAGGCAUCUGUGAAGGUGCUGCAUGGUUGUCGUCAGCUCGUGCCGUGAGGUGUCGGCUUAAGUGCCAUAACGAGCGCAACCCUUGUUGUCAGUUACUAACAGGUUCCGCUGAGGACUCUGACAAGACUGCCAUCGUAAGAUGUGAGGAAGGUGGGGAUGACGUCAAAUCAGCACGGCCCUUACGUCCGGGGCUACACACGUGUUACAAUGGGGGGUACAGAGGGCCGCUACCACGCGAGUGGAUGCCAAUCCCCAAAACCUCUCACAGUUCGGACUGGAGUCUGCAACCCGACUCCACGAAGCUGGAUUCGCUAGUAAUCGCGCAUCAGCCACGGCGCGGUGAAUACGUUCCCGGGCCUUGUACACACCGCCCGUCAAGCCAUGGGAGCCGGGGGUACCUGAAGUGCGUAACCGCGAGGAGCGCCCUAGGGUAAAACUGGUGACUGGG